GGAAGAUCACAGACACUCUAAACCCACCAGGCUGGAGGAGGGGUGGUGUGAACCCACAGCGAUGGAAAGACUUCUCAGCUAGCAACCUGGAAGACAGUCGGGUGGGGCCAUCCAUGGGGUAAAGAACUCACAAUACAGUCAGUGAGUAUUCCAGUUCAUUUUGUUCUUCCGUCUUCUCCUACUUUGUGAGCAGCGAAGGCCCAAGAAGACACCAGCCUGGCAGCAUCUACCAAAUCAG